UACGGAGGAUGCAAGCGUUAUCCGGAAUGAUUGGGCGUAAAGCGUCCGCAGGGGGCUAUGUAAGUCUGCUGUUAAAGAGUGAGGCUCAACCUCAUAAGAGCAGUGGAAACUACAUGGCUAGAGUGCGUUCGGGGCAGAGGGAAUUCCUGGUGUAGCGGUGAAAUGCGUAGAGAUCAGGAAGAACACCGGUGGCGAAAGCGCUCUGCUAGGCCGCAACUGACACUCAUAGACGAAAGCUAGGGGAGCGAAUGGG
rnacentral:rRNA from 1 species